UGGAUUAGAUGAGUAUUGGUGGAGGUAUCUUAGUAACUUUGAUGAAGCCCUCUUAACUCUGAGGUCCAU
rnacentral:snoRNA from 1 species